AAGGUCUGAAAAAUAAAUCAUAUUUAGAACGCCAUUGGUAGCUUAAAAAUGGUUUUAAACCUGAAUUUGAAGAAAAUGUUGAGACCAUGAUGUAACCAAAAAGAAAUAAUUGGGUUAUUUCUAUUCCAAAUGUCUUUGGUGACUGUGUGAUUUUAAACCAAAUUGGUUUAUCUAUCUAGGCGUUUAAACCAGUUCUCAGUGUUCUAAAGAAGUACAUGUACCGACCCUGACAAUCAUGUUCUUUUAAGCCUUUAGAUUAUUGACUAUCCAGGUUGUUCCACAGAGUCUCUUUUUUUCCCCCUUCUUUCUUGAAGAUCUGUGAGUAAUGGACUAAUUGCUAUUAAAUUUGGGAGCUUUACAUAUGCCACAACAGAAAAAGUCAGAAGAAGGUAAGUCUUGAAUCUUGUUUGGAUGAAAUGUAGAUACAUGUGAUAUGUGUAUAUGUUUAGGAAUAGGAUCAGACUCAGUUACGGUGGUAAUAUAGGUAAAAGGGCUUUGCCACUUCCCACAUCAAGGGCAGGAUUCUUUGUAUAUUUAUACAUAGAGAAUGAUUUGACUUGUGAUUGAAUAGAACCUUACUGCCCUGCAGUUUAUGUCAUAUGGUUUCCUAUAAUUAAUACUCCUGAGCUCCCUGUUGACAAAGAAAGUAAUGUGGUUCCCAUGGGCAGAUGGCCUGCAGGGCUGAAGUUCUUGUUAUGACCAAAAAAAAUUAUGAGGUGAUGCCAUUCUUAGUGAUGGGAGAUUUUCUUAGGAUUCAAAAUGGUAACAGUACCUAAGCCAUCCCUGAGGCUUCGCAAGGAAAAGAAGUGACUAAUCAUAGGCUGAUCUUUUUCUCACUUUUUUCCUCACAUAAAAUAAGUUUUUUUAUGAUAAAGUCUUUGGAGUUGCUGUGCCUAUUUUUCAUGUGUAGUAUCUUAUUUUUAUUUCUCAGUCUAGUCAACUCUGCUGAAUGUGUAUAUAAGGUGUCAUUCAUAGAAUUUCCACAGGCUUAAGGCCUAACCAUUGAUGGCCAGGGGCUUUCUAGAACUGAAACAACUUCACAGAUUUUUGGGGGUCAUGAUUACCCAUUUUUAAGAUUUGGUUAUAUAUGUGAAUAAUCAGUACAAAAAGUAACUGAUUUUAAUACAAACCAAUGAUACAUUUUAAAUGUUAUUGUACAGAAUGUCACUUAACUUUUAAAUUUUUUUCUGCUUGCUGCCAGUAUAACAUGCAUACAGUAUUUUCUCAGUAGUCACGAUCAUCUUUGAUAUAACAAAACUUAUUUUAAUUCUAGCAUCUACAGUUGUUUAGAUGCACAGUUUUAUGAUGAUGAAACUGUAACAGUAGUUCUUAAAGACACUGUAGGACGUGAAGGAAGAGAUAGACUCUUGGUCCAGCUGCCUUUGUCUUUAGUAUAUAACAGUGAAGAUUCUGCAGAAUAUCAGUUCACUGGGACUUAUUCUACAAGGCUAGAUGAACAGUGUAGUGCUAUUCCCACCCGUACCAUGCAUUUUGAGAAGCACUGGAGAUUACUGGAAAGUAUGAAAGCACAGUAUGUUGCUGGGAAUGGUUUUCGAAAAGUGUCCUGUGUGGUAAGUGUUUAGAGAUCGUUCAGCAACUAAGAAAUUACAAGAAGUAACGUUGCUUCUUUGGAACCUUCAUCAAAUACAUGAUAUAUAAGGUCCUUUUGUGCAAAUAUUUUUACUGUGAUUUAUAGCUUGUAUUGAUUAUGAUCAUGUGGUGGCCUUAGCUAUUUAGUUCUCGUUCUGAUAAAGCUUACUAAGUAGUUAAUAAUAAUACUAGAUUUUAAUCUCACAAAAUUGCCACUGUUGUUAUGUGGAGAUCUUUUUAUACAAAAUGAAGGCUGAAUUUAUUGAUUUUGUUGUAAAUUGAUGGGAAUAUAACUUUCCUAUAAAACCAUUCUUUGAUUCAGACUUCUGAUUUCUAAUUCUUUAUAUAUGAUAAGCCAUUAAUUUAAAAAUGCUUUUAUGGCCUUUUCUUUUUUAGUUAAGCUCAAAUCUUCGUCAUGUGAGAGUAUUUGAAAUGGACAUAGAUGAUGAAUGGGAGCUCGAUGAGUCUUCAGAUGAAGAGGAGGAGGCCAGUAAUAAGCCUGUAAAAAUAAAGGAAGAAGUGUUGUCGGAGUCAGAGGCAGAGAACCAACAAGCUGGUGCUGCCGCUUUAGCUCCAGAGAUAGUCAUUAAAGUGGAAAAACUUGACCCUGAGCUAGACUCCUAAUCUAGCUUGCCAUUAUUGUGUGUGUAAUUAUGGCCAAAAGGACAUAGGAGAUGGACUAAGAUGUCUUGGACCACCUUUAAUUUUCUUUGUGUAACAAAGAAAUAAACAGUAAAUUUUAUUUUUUC
rnacentral:sRNA from 1 species